rnacentral:SRP_RNA from 1 species
GCUGGGCGUGGUGGCUCACGCCUGUAAUCCCAGCACUUUGGGAGGCCGAGGCGGGUGGAUCACCUGAGGUCAGGAGUUCGAGACCAGCCUGGCCAACAUGGUGAAACCCCAUCUCUA